rnacentral:lncRNA from 10 species
UUCUUUAAAAAAGCGUUUUUGUUAAGGAGUCUGGGAAUCAUGGAAUCAUAGUGACCAGUAACUGUUAUGGACUGGAUUGUAUCCCCCUCCAAUUCAGUUAUGGUGCUGCUUCAGAAAGAAAAGAGAUAGUUUCCCUUGCAAAGUUAUCAAAGUGCUCCCCAGAAGACAUUAGGUAUUUGCUUUCUAGUCUACAUACAAUGAAAAGGAAAAAACGUCAGUUCCUGAAGCUCUCUCAAAACAUCAACAGAUGGAAAGACGUGCCCAUGUCCUCCCCUCCCUCCACUCUGGGGGCUUGGAAAUGCUGCAGCAGGGAGCAGGCCCCAGGCUGGACCUGCCCUGUCCUCACGACGAGUGUGUGCAAAAGUGAACAAUAAAUCAUUUCAAAGAUGCAAGGAAGAAAAACCAAAACAUCAACAGAAUCUUCUUUCCCAUAAUCUUCAUGCACCUCCUGGUCCGGAUGAGUUUAUGUUCCCAUCUCCGAGCACAGGGAUUGAUUGUGAUGGCAUUUAUAGGACUGAGUGCCCCACACUCUGUGAUCCAGCAUGGAGUUAUGAUUUACAUCACCACAGGAAGAGUACAGAGGCUUCAACAGAAAAAAAGCAAAAACAACAGACCUUCAUUCAGCUUAGGAACAUAAUAAAUAGGACGAAGUUGAAUAAACGAAAUGGAGGGGAGUGAAGUAUUCCAGAUGGAAGAGGCAGUACGUGGCCAAGAGGAAACAGACCAUGUGCGCUGGAGAAAAAGGAUGGCCAGACUUGCAGAAACCUGGAAUUGGUGAUUGGCUUUAGAAGUGGAGAGACAAAAAAGGAGGCAUAGAAAGUGCCAACAUUUGGCUACACAGGGAAGAAAGACGUAAAAUAAUAAAAACAUUGGCAUCACCUGUAGACUCAAAUCCUGUGAGUGAAGGACCUGAGCAAUGAAGGAUGGAUUGAACUCGUGAUUAGCCUUCUUCAGCAUAUGUAAAAUGAUGUCUGCUUUUCUUCUCUAUUUGUCAUUUUACCGACUUUUUAUAUAUAGUAGUUUCCCCAUAUCCAUGGAGGAUGUAUCCCAAGACCCCCAGAGGAUGCUUGAAACCACAGAUAAUAACAAACUCUAUGUAUCCUAUGAUUUUUCCUGUACAUCCUUACCUAUCAUAAAGUGAGUGUAUAAACUAGGCACAGGAGAUUAAAAACAAUAACUCAUAAUAAAAUAGAACAAUUAGUACAACCUAAUGAAA